rnacentral:rRNA from 1 species
GAGUUUGAUCUUGGCUCAGGACGAACGCUGGCGGCGUGCCUAAUACAUGCAAGUCGAGCGAGGGUUUUUAAGACCCUAGCGGCGGACGGGUGAGUAACACGUAGGCAACCUGCCUCUCAGACCGGGAUAACAUAGGGAAACUUAUGCUAAUACCGGAUAGGUUUUUGGAUUGCAUGAUCCGAAAAGAAAAGAUGGCUUUUCGCUAUCACUGGGAGAUGGGCCUGCGGCGCAUUAGCUAGUUGGUGGGUAACGGCCUACCAAGGCGACGAUGCGUAGCCGACCUGAGAGGGUGACCGGCCACACUGGGACUGAGACACGGCCCAGACUCCUACGGGAGGCAGCAGUAGGGAAUUUUCCACAAUGGACGAAAGUCUGAUGGAGCAACGCCGCGUGGACGAUGAAGGUCUUCGGAUUGUAAAGUUCUGUUGUCAGGGACGAACACGUACCGUUCGAAUAGGGCGGUACCUUGACGGUACCUGACGAGAAAAGCCACGGCUAACUACGUGCCAGCAGCCGCGGU